UCCGGUUUCGGUGGCUUCCACA
rnacentral:siRNA from 1 species